rnacentral:tRNA from 1 species
GGGGUUGUGGCUCAGAGGUAGAGUGUUUGCCUAGAAUGCAUAAGGGUUCAAUCCUCAGCACCA